GGGGUUGUGGCUCAGUGGUAGAGCACUCACCUAGCACGUGCGAGGCUCUAGGUUCGACCCUUAGCACCACA
rnacentral:tRNA from 1 species